rnacentral:misc_RNA from 1 species
UACGAACCGGACAAACGUUAUUCGGAAUUAUUGGGCUUAAAGGGUGCGUAGGCGGUGCGGUAAGUGAGGUGUGAAAUCCCUCGGCUCAACCGAGGAAUUACGCCUCAUACUGCCGUGCUAGAGGGAGACAGAGGUAAGCGGAACUGAUGGUGGAGCGGUGAAAUGCGUUGAUAUCACGAAGAACAUCAGUGGCGAAGGCGGCUUACUGGGUCUCUUCUGACGCUGAGGCACGAAAGCUAGGGUAGCGAACGGG